rnacentral:rRNA from 1 species
UACGGGGGGAGCAAGCGUUGUUCGGAUUUACUGGGCGUAAAGGGCGCGUAGGCGGUCAGCACAAGUCAGUUGUGAAAUCUCCGAGCUUAACUCGGAAAGGUCAACUGAUACUGUGCGACUAGAGUGCAGAAGGGGCAACUGGAAUUCUUGGUGUAGCGGUGAAAUGCGUAGAUAUCAAGAGGAACACCUGCGGCGAAGGCGGGUUGCUGGGCUGACACUGACGCUGAGGCGCGAAAGCCAGGGGAGCGAACGGG